AGGAUUAACUAUAAAACAGGAGCAGAUACAGUAUCUCAGAAACUGCUUGCAAAUCUAACAGGAAUUCAAACGGGUUGUAUUGAGGACAAGAAGGGAUGGACCAUGAAGAUUGAUUGAGCUUCUUCCUCCCUUUCAUAUAAUAGAAUCGUGUUAUGUCUUUUAUUUGGAUUAUCUGGAGGCAAGAUUACUAAAGUCCACAAAACUUCACUAGUGCAAAUCUUGAGAGCUACAUCAAUAAAGUUGGCUCAAGACGUGGAAAAAUAACCAUCAAGACUAAAGGCAAUGAAGUGCUAUCAAAACAUUUUCAGCAUCUCCUAAUUUUCAGUUAGAAAUUUUCAGCUUUAUCAUUUGUGUCAGUAAGUGUCUCAAUAUGUGAUCACUGCAUUUAGUAGAACAAAGAACCAAGAGAACUCAAUUUGUGGAAAAAAAAAUAAUUAAUAGUACAUUAGUUUCUAACCUUGAUACUGUUUAGAUGCAUUAUGAACAAGUCAUUCCAAGUAUCCGUUAUUCCCGGUAAGCACCAGUGCAUGCAGUCAUCAUGCCUCUUCCCACCAGCAGUGGAUGGAUGAGCAUCUGCCCUGAACUCAGUCAUGUGGGUUAUAUCCAAAAUAUGGAAAUUAGAACCCUCAAUGGCCUUGAAGAGGUGUUGAUUCACCAAACGGGAUUCCACAUUUGUUCCAUUGUUCUUUAUAGAGAAGAGUUCUUCAACCUCAAAGGGGAAAUCACACACCUUUAGCCUUAAUAAUAUUGCAACACCAAAUUGAAUUGCUAGGCAAGUAUGCAUGAGGGUACUCAAGAACGUGCACAGGUUAACAAAUUAUGAAAUCAUGAAUCUUACUUGCUCAGGCAAUAAAGGUUUUAGUCGUAGACAGGAACCACCCUGGUCCCAGUCACCUCCUUCAAAAUGUCUAGGAGAUUGUGUACGAAAGAACUUGAGCCCACCUGGAUGCAUGUUUUUCUCAACAAACAGUAUCAUGUAUUUCAAAACCUUGUCCAGCCCAACAUCAGGGGGUAAGGGUGGGAUCACAGGCUGGCCCCUCUCAAAGAAAAGCAUGGGUGACGUUACAGGGUCAAAUUUUGAAGGAGCCCACCACCAAUGUCCAGUGUUAAAGAUUAGAAUAUCGUGGAAGCUGGGAGCAUUUGCCCAUGUGCCGUCGGGAAUGUCCAUGUCAACUCUAUAGCCCUCUUUAUAUCCAAGGGAUUCCAACUCACCACCAUUAGCAUUAGCUGACCAACUACCAUAACGCGCUAAAAGAUUUGUUCGAUGGUAUGCAAUAGUAAGAUUGUAGUGAAGAAACGUAAACCCACGAUCAGCCCCAGCAGGACGCCACUUUUUCACUUCGCUUGAAACCCGUUUCAGUGCGCAAAAAAGAGACACAAACAUAUUCCUAUUCAAGGAAUCGCCAACGAAUCCAAUGUUGGUGUCUCUAUAAGUCUCCAAGAACCAGACGGGAUCGAACGGUGGAAGAUCGCAGCCCUUAGGCUGCCACCGCCACUUGAGAAUUUCUCUGGCAUUGGAUUUAUUACUAGCAAUACAAUUCCAUCCUUUAAAUAUCUCCUUGCAGGUACCAUCGUACCUCUCGGACCUCCAAUUCGGGUCGUAGAUCCAGGAACCUUGCGUGUAAUUGCAGGAUCCGGAUGGUGGGGCCGGGUGGGAUAUGAGGUUGGGUUUGAGCUGGGAGGUUUGGCGAGAGAGGAAGGGCCUUCUGGAAAAAGAGAGGACGAAGAAGAUAGAAGCGAAGCAGAGAAGAGAGACUAAGGGAAAGAGUGGUAUUCUCUUUUUCUGGUCUCUGGUAGCCAUGGCGGACUCUCUUUUUCCAGAAGGCCCUU
rnacentral:misc_RNA from 1 species